rnacentral:rRNA from 1 species
CGGGUGAGUAACACGUGGAUAACCUACCUAUAAGACUGGGAUAACUUCGGGAAACCGGAGCUAAUACCGAAUAAUAUUUUGAACCGCAUGGUUCAAAAGUGAAAGACGGUCUUGCUGUCACUUAUAGAUGGAUCCGCGCUGCAUUAGCUAGUUGGUAAGGUAACGGCUUACCAAGGCAACGAUGCAUAGCCGACCUGAGAGGGUGAUCGGCCACACUGGAACUGAGACACGGUACAG